rnacentral:rRNA from 1 species
GACGAACGCUGGCGGCGUGCCUAAUACAUGCAAGUAGAACGCACAGUUUAUACCGUAGCUUGCUACACCAUAGACUGUGAGUUGCGAACGGGUGAGUAACGCGUAGGUAACCUGCCUGGUAGCGGGGGAUAACUAUUGGAAACGAUAGCUAAUACCGCAUAAUAUUAAUUAUUGCAUGAUAAUUAAUUGAAAGGUGCAAUUGCACCACUACCAGAUGGACCUGCGUUGUAUUAGCUAGUAGGUGAGGUAACGGCUCACCUAGGCGACGAUACAUAGCCGACCUGAGAGGGUGAUCGGCCACACUGGGACUGAGACACGGCCCAGACUCCUACGGGAGGCAGCAGUAGGGAAUCUUCGGCAAUGGACGAAAGUCUGACCGAGCAACGCCGCGUGAGUGAAGAAGGUUUUCGGAUCGUAAAGCUCUGUUGUAAGAGAAGAAUGGGUGUGAGAGUGGAAAGUUCACACUGUGACGGUAUCUUACCAGAAAGGGACGGCUAACUACGUG